rnacentral:rRNA from 1 species
CCUACGGGUGGCAGCAGUGAGGAAUAUUGGUCAAUGGGCGCGAGCCUGAACCAGCCAAGCAGCGUGAAGGAUGACUGCCCUAUGGGUUGUAAACUUCUUUUAUAAAGGAAUAAAGUGAGGCACGUGUGCCUUUUUGUAUGUACUUUACGAAUAAGGAUCGGCUAACUCCGUGCCAGCAGCCGCGGUAAUACGGAGGAUCCGAGCGUUAUCCGGAUUUUUUGGGUUUAAAGGGAGCGUAGAUGGGUUGUUAAGUCAGUUGUGAAAUUUUGCGGCUCAACCCUGAAACUGCAUCUGAUACUGGCAGGCUUGAGUACAGUUGAGGUAGGCGGAAUGCGUGGUGUAGCGGUGAAAUGCUUAGAUAUCACGAAGAACACCGAUUGCGAAGGCAGCUUACUAAACUACCACUGACGUUGAUGCACGAAAGUGUGGGUAGCAAACAGGAUUAGAUACCCCUGUAGUC